UACGGGGGGGGCAAGCGUUGUUCGGAAUUACUGGGCGUAAAGGGCUCGUAGGCGGCCAACUAAGUCGGACGUGAAAUCCCCAGGCUCAACCUGGGAACUGCGUCUGAUACUGGAUGGCUUGAAUUCGGGAGAGGGAUGCAGAAUUCCAGGUGUAGCGGUGAAAUGCGUAGAUAUCUGGAGGAAUACCGGUGGCGAAGGCGGCAUCCUGGACCGACAUUGACGCUGAGGAGCGAAAGCGUGGGGAGCAAACAGG
rnacentral:rRNA from 1 species